rnacentral:rRNA from 1 species
GAUUAUGGCUCAGGAUGAACGCUGGCGGCGUGCCUAACACAUGCAAAGUCGAACGAAGCAUAUCUAACGGAGAUUCGUCGAAGCUGGAUAUGACUUAGUGGCGGACGGGUGAGUAAUGUAUGAGCAACCUGCCUUUCAGAGGGGGACAACAGUUGGAAACGACUGCUAAUACCGCAUAACGUAUUUGGGUGGCAUCACCUGGAUACCAAAGGAGCAAUCCGCUGAAAGAUGGGCUCAUAUCUGAUUAGCUUGUUGGCGGGGUAACGGCCCACCAAGGCGACGAUCAGUAGCCGGACUGAGAGGUUGAACGGCCACAUUGGGACUGAGAUACGGCCCAGACUCCUACGGGAGGCAGCAGUGGGGAAUAUUGGGCAAUGGGCGAAAGCCUGACCCAGCAACGCCGCGUGAAGGAAGAAGGUCUUCGGAUUGUAAACUUCUUUUAUGAGGGACGAAGGACGUGACGGUACCUCAUGAAUAAGCCACGGCUAACUACGUGCCAGCAGCGGC